GCUGAUAAGGUUCGCAAGUGCAUGGUCAACAGUCGAGUGCGCGCCGUGCAGGAAAAGAGCAUGUUGCAUGAAGACAAUGGAGGACACAGUGUUUUACCAUCCACACACAAAAUGUAUGUUGUAAAUUUAUUUUGGUGACAGACUAAAAUUGAAACGAAAUCUUGUUUUAUAAUGUUUCAUUAAAUUAUUACUGGAAAUGCA